UAACGCCCGGUCUCAUUCCGAACCCGGAAGCUAAGCCUCUCAGCGCCGAUGGUACUGCCCGGGGGACUGGGUGGGAGAGUAGGACGCCGCCGGAC
rnacentral:rRNA from 1 species